AUUUGUUAGAUUAUUCUUGCAUGUCGUGUUGUUUCUCAAAUCAGGGUUCUUCAUCUGCUAUCAUGCUUGGGAUUUUUUCUUAUCAUCUUUUCAUCCGUGAAUACAUGACAGAAAUGAGAUUUAGAUUUUGUAAGGAUCAGAGAAUUGUGCAGCAGAGUUUUGGUCAUUCAUUUCUUUUUGAAUUUGCAAUAGUCAUGUUAAUUGUAUCAUGGUUUCUUCUUUCUGUUGUUUAUUGUGUGCUAUUCAUAGUUUUAUAUCAAUUAUCGCACAUCAAUGGUCAGGAAUCUUUGCAACCUUUGAGUUGGAUUUCUCUGAUUACAUCAAGUGCUUAUUCAGAAAAUGGCAAUUGUCCUUUACACAAAGAAUCUGACUGGAAAGAAGCUGGAUAUCAUGACCACAGAGUGAGACUCCAUUUUCAGGCCACUUUUUUGGUGUUACACUCCAAAUAACAUGGUGCUUCCAGUUUUAGGGUGUUUAUUAUGUGCCAUUCAUAGAAGACAUUUGGAAUGUCGAGUGGUAUUUUUGCUUUUCGAGUGUUGUAUUAUUUUGUUUGAGUUUUAGAAAACAUGUUAUUUGUGUUAGAUUUAAUGUGUCAAUUUCUGUUACAGAAUUCUGAAUUGUGCAUUUUUUUUUCCAUGUAAGAGUACUGGGAUGGAUGCUUGGGCGUUCUUCUCAUUCUCUUUUCCACUGCAGAUUAUAAGCUUAGAUGGGUCUGCUUCAAGAAGCUUUGUUAUAUUCAUAAUCAGCAGUUCGUUUUAGUUGCUUGCAGUUUUUCGGUGCUCUCCUCUUCAUCUCUGCUUUUCUCAGUAAUUCAUUUAUUUAGAGUUGUGUAUAGCUUUGAUUUUUGUUCUUCUUUUUUUGUUUUCUGAGGGGAUUCUUUUGGCAGAGGAGUUGAAGGGUUAGAAGCAGUUAGAUCAAUAGCUUCAAUUUUGGUUUAUUAACAAGCAUCCAUUUGGAAAUUUGGUGAAGUUGAUAUGAGGAAGUUCAUAUUACUAGCAAAGGGUAGCUACGUCCUCAUCAUCACCAUCUCCUCAACACCCAUCUUAGACUCUCCUCAUGUUUUGCUCAGUGAUGCAAGGAGUUCAAUACAUAUCAAGGAGUUUUGUAAUUGUGAACUUUUGUUCUUUAUACUAUCCAUUCUAUUUUAUUGUGCAUAAUGGAUGAACUCAAAAUUUUUCAGAGAGGAACAAUUAAGAGAUAAAGCUGUGAAGCAUUUAAGGCGCAUAAAUGGCAAGGCCUUCACAUCACUGCAUUGGUUACUGAAAAGGAGAAUGGAUACAUGUAAAAAAACAAAUAAAGGAAAUUUGUACUGGAUAAUUUGUCUUUGUGCCAAAAUCAUGAGUUGCUUAGGUGAAAUACAAAUAUGUUUUUAUUA